AUUCUUUCCUUUGUUUCUGUGUCUAUGGCUGUGGUGUUUGAGCAAGUCUUUACUUGCUGCAGCCUAGGAGUUUGUUACUCUGCUGUCAUUGCUGUGCUUUCUAUUGCAUUACACUUAUUAAUAGAAUAAUUCAAGUACCUGUAAGGCCUGUGGUCAUUCUGGUUAUUGAAGGCAGAUGGAUCACAACAUAACACUGAGUGUGGCAUGUUUGAUUGCAACCAUAUCACUCAGUGUUGAAACUCACUCAGGGAGGGCAGCAUUUUUUUUAGUUGGACUUACCACAUGUUCCUCUAUUGGAAAAAGUGGUAUUUAGCCCCAGGUACCACUUCCAGUAGAUCUUUGUUUCAAGAGGAGAAAAUAAUUAAGGGAGAACUUAAUUGAUUACAUAGCUGUCAAAUAUACAUUAUUACUGCAUUCUGAUGAUAUGCAUCUCCCGCUUUGCAUAUUCAGAGCCCUUAACUAGUUUCUGUUGAACUAGUGGCAGGCAUCCUUUGUCACAGCAGUGACUGCUUUAGCAUUAAAGCGUGGGAACUAACCCUUUUUAAGGAUAAUUAAAAAUGCAAGUAUGAAGUCCCAGGAAGUUUUAGUAGUCCGCGUGUGUGAGAGAGCCUCUGGGGCAAACACGGUGCAUUUGGAGCUCGUUUUGUGUUUUUUGUUUAAAAACAAAACAAAACUUGUAAAAUGACCACCAGUUACUUGCCCUCCAAAAGCUCGGUUUUGUCUGAGUUCAUACUGGAACGGGCUGAAGUGCUGGAUUUAUUUUCACCUGCUAGAAAAGGCUGUCGUUCUUCGGAGACACCACAAGAGGGUAGUUAAAGAGAAACUGAAAUACAUGAGGCUGACGGAAUGGCUAUACUGUUUUGUGCAAGGUGAAUGUGGCCGUAAAUUAUUUUUAUAUGAGCCUGAUCUGCAAGGAGCUCUCCUAUUCCCCUGCAUAAAUGUCAGAGAUCUCAAUGGUGUUGCAGCAGACAAUGAUCAGGUUGGCUAGGGAGUGACCUUGCUUUAUCACAUUUAGUAAGAGGAACCAGAAGUGGUUCUUACCCAGAGCAUUUGGGUAGAUAAAGGCAAUCAUAUUUUGGAGAGUUACGCUUUAAGUGCAUGGUGCUACAGUGGAGCAACAAAGUGCAUUGCUUAUGUUAUGGGAAUAAAACGUGCCUCUCUGCUGGAAACAGUACGUACAGUGAGAGCCAGCAUAUGUCAGUUCCUAAAAGCCUCAGCCAUUCACGAGGACAUCAACGUUUUUUCUCCACCACCUGCCUUCUGAAAGGACUAACUGCAGUCAGCAGGUGAAUCGCUUUAUUUGGAGAUGGGGGAGGGGGGAAAUGAUGGCCAAAUUUUCUAAGGACAUAAAUCAAAACUGUACAUUUAAUAUCCAUAGAGCUGUGUGCUUCACACCAGCAGAAAUCUUAGCGCUUUUUUUUUCCUGUUCUACCAUAUUCACCCUUGACACAUCAGCAGAAAGCUAACAUACCCCUGAUGCAGUCAAAGCCCAGCUGACUGAGUGGGCUGCCUGUCUCCAGGGGCAUUUCCUCAGGGCAGGCUUGCCAGUGAGGAGCAGGUUGCUGCUAAAUGGCUCGCACCUGCAGGUGCAGCAGCUGAGAGUUUGUAUGCUCACUGGCACAGAGGUAACUUUGUGCUGGAAGUAUCUGUUGUGUGACGAAUAAUUGCAUGGAGGGCUGAAGGGCAAUGUGUCCCACACAAGUGAGUUGACUGGUGGCUCUUAGCACCCGGUGGUGACAGUCCCUUGGACUGCUGCUCUGACUGAAGAGAAGCGGGCCUGCUAUGGGGCAGACCAACCCCUGCAGGCCAGUGCCCAGCUCUGCUCACUUCUGAGUCAACAGAGUGGUUUCCAUGAAGCCAAGGAGCAGGGCGAAGAGCUAUGUUAAUGAGAUGGCAGCUCAUGCCCAAGUGCCCUGUGGAGGGCAAGAGCCAUCUGUGCUGCCCCAUACCAGUGGGGCCCUCCAGCAGUGCUGGGGGCUGUGGAGCCAGCAGCCCUGCGGUGUUCUCCUUGUGGUGCUGCUGUGAGCGGUGGUUUGUUGUCAGCGGAGCUACGUUAUGAUAGUCAUUAUGGUUUUAAAUGACUCAUUUUCCACUUAACUGUAUUAUUGCGGCUUAUAGAGCAUCUGGAGCUUUGCAGCAGUAAAUACAUCACUGACUGCUACAACAAUAUACUAAUCUAUUUCUUUGAAGGAUUUAUUUAGCAGAAGACAGUCGGUGUAGGCAGGUGCAUACAAAUGCGUGUGCCUCUGGGCCUGGCACACGGCACCAGUCCUGGUGGCCCACCGGCGUGGGUCACAAAUGCGUUGUGCUGCUGGCAUGCCUGUAGAAACCAAUUUAAGGCUUUCGUAUGACUCGUUGUAGCCUGAAUUUGGCAUUGUUUUGGGAGAAAAGGAGAGACUCCUGUCAGACGUGCAAGAGACCCUGUGCCAAAGCAUCCUGUGAGGCAUUGGAACCCCAGGGAUUGACAUGAGUCUGCUCGUAUCACUCACUCCUGACUGACUAAGGGGGGAAAAACCCCUCAUAGACUCUUUCAUUUAUUCGUUUUAUUUCAUUUUUCCUCAGCUUGAGCCAUUCCUCGCUUAGGGAAAGCGGCUGCAGAGGGCGGUGUGGGAGAGCAAAACCCGCGCGAACAUGGCGGCGGGCCGCGCUCGGGCACUAGAGGGAGACCUCGGCCCGGCUGCCCGCCGCUGGCAGCAGCGCGCAGUCCGUGCGAACGGGGUUUUUGGGCUUCUGCUUUUUUGGAAGUCUCAAGCAGAUCUGACUGCUCCGCGGCUUCCUUGGAGUUUCCCCGCAGUGAGGCAGCAGAGGUGCCCCUCAGGUCGCUGCGCUGCUUUCAGCAAAGCUCAGCAUUUCCUGCUUCUGAUUUUAGACCUGAAAAGUGUUGGGAUAAUACAGCUCUGGUUGGGGGAUGUUUUGGUAGAGGUACUUUAAGAAAUAUAUUCAGGAAUGCAGCAGAAGAAAAAGAUCUGGGGGUGUAUCAGCAAUAGUGCAGCCAGCAGAGCAGGAGCUGAAUGUCCAUCUGUACCGGCCCUGGUGAGGCCACACCUCAGUGCUGUGUUCGGUGCUGGGGCCUUCUCUGUGAGGAAGACAUGGAGGCCCUGGAGUGUGUCCAGAGAAGGGAACGGAGCUGUGAGGGAUCAGGAGCACACGUAGCUGAAGCUCUGUUGAAGAUAAUGAUAAACUCUUUACCUGUUGAGCAUUAGAGAAAUCCCAGGAGUUCCUAAAUUUGCCACAGGUUUCCACAGACCAUUGAUGUGAAUGUACUGCCAGCUUUGGUAGCAACUAGUUUCCUAAGGCUGUUGGUCCUGUAGCGCUUAAACCAAAAGCCCUUUCAAGUAGUUUGUGUCUGCCCUGCCUGUGAUGUUAUGACAUCCCUGCAGCCUGCUAGGUAAACAUUCUUUGCCAGAGCAUCAAAGCACAGAUUCUUCAUUGCAAUUAUUAUUAUCAGUGUAAAAAUGGAGAGUUCAGUGAUGAACUCUACUUGAAGCAAACCUUCAGCAAAUUGAAGCUCUGAGUUAGAACAGCAUCAAGAGCUGAAAAGGCCUUUGUUGAUCGACUUGUGUGAGCUGCAGAGGACAGCGACGCAGAUGACACUGACUUGCUGGCCUGUGAGCAGGUAACUUGCAGGCAGAAGAAAAUGCAUACCUAAUUGAACAGUUAGUGUUUUCAGUCUGUGCCCAUUGCCUCCUCUUGCACCUUGUAGAGGUUUGUAAGAUCCCUACAAGAAGCGGUUUUGUACUGUUUGAAAAAGCUGGUGCUAAUUCUACUGCUGCUUGACGAUAUGACCUUGCUAUGAAAGGGUCUAAAUGUUUUCAAGCCAUUCCUAGAAAUGAAGAAAACUCUUUUCUGUAAUGGCUGCAGAUUUUUUCAAUAGAGGCAAAGGUAUUGCCAGUACUUGUUGGACAAAGGUGUAGAACGGUACUUCACUUUCUGAAUCUCCUUAUGUUGUAAGAGGGGUAAGCACGUAGCGUAAUAUAAAGGCAGAUUACAGGAGCUGAAGCUGGAGGGCUGCGUGGGUGCAUUGGUACAAAUCCGAAGAGCCUCGUGUUGUGCCUGCUCGGCAAGAAGAGUCCUGGCUGUGCGGUGUGUGACACAGCAAGAAGAAUGGUUUGGAGAAGAUUGUUCUCGAAGCACAGUUCUGCAAAGUACUAUCUUGCAUCAGGGAUGUCAUGUUUUGCAGCUUUCCCAUCACUGCAGAAAUCCUUGCUUUCUGGAUAACUUCACUUUCCUUGUGCUCUUCUGAGCCAGUUCUUCUAUUUUCCAGGUUUGUUUUCUAACUUGGAAUGAGUAGUUUCACUUCAAGUUUUAUUAAUAUAUUACUUCCUUUGGUGACCUAGAAAGAAUGUGAGUCUUCCUCUGUCUUUGGAGAGGAGGUGAAGUGGAGAAAACAGGAGGGGACCCACAUCUGACUUACACCUGCUGACUUGUGAAGAGAAUACUUUGCUUUAGAGGCAGUUGUGUGGGAGGGGAUGCAAGUUGGGAAGGCUGUGCUGAUAGCUUUAAUCCUCAUCUUCUCAGGUUGCAAACAGGUUCAGUUCUUCUAAGUUCAGGCCCAGCCUUGUUCCCUCUCUGUUCAGCCCCUUCCACCGUCUUUCCCUCUUCCCAUACUUUGAGUGUUCGUACAAAUCCUGGGUGUUCACCCCUUGAUGCUCAUUUGUAGAAUCUUGCCUAGGGUCCUUUCAAAGUACUGGAGAGGGGAAGCGAUGCUGAGGCAGACCUGUGCAAAGCAACCCACAGAGUUCCUGCUGCAGGACUGGCUGUGGCUUCACUAGCUGGGAGUAAUCGGGCUGUGCCAUGAGGCUAUGGGGCUCUGCUGCCUUUGCUUAGGUGUAAAAUACCAAACCCAGAGCCCCCACAUCACCCAGUGAGGCCAUGGAGUGCUUACCGCAAAGUACAGCCUUCCACUCUUCAUUCAGCCUCAGACCUGGUGCAGCAUACAGUGCAGCAAGGUCUGUUCAGAAAUUAAAGCGAGCCUGCGAUACAUUUAAUAGGCUUCAUGAGAUUAAUCCCUCUUGACAAACUGAAUUCAUCAUAAUAGUAAGAUACAGGAGCUGGUAGGCAAUUAAAUCAGCUUAGUUUCAGGGCAGGGUAUUUAAUGAACAUAUUUGCCCGUUAUUGUGUUUUAAUAGUGUUUGAUAAAAUUAUUUCUUGCCCAAAACUUUUUAAAUGUGGGAAGCUAGGAAACUUCUUUAAUCCUAACGCUGUUAUUUAAGGAUUCAUGAAAGAAUAUUGGAAAAAUGCUGCACAACAUAUUGCUAACUCCACUUUCCUUUUUAAGGGAGAAAUCUUGUUAGCUGGAAGACCAAGUAUUCAUUUUUUUCUGUUAAAAAUUAAACAGAAUUUUCUGCACUGAAUUGGAGAGGCUUCUGGAUUUGGAAGUUGAUGCUGAAGCAUAUCAAAUAUCCUGGUUAAAGCUCAGAAACCGCCUAUGAGCCCCCAGCUCCAACAUCUGCUCCAGAAUGAAUAGAACAAAGGAAACAUAAUGGCUGGGAACAAUAUGAGGAAGAUAGUAUUCUUUCUCUUGUGAAUAGGAUUGUUUGUACCACAGUCACUACAGUAACAUUUGAACGCUUCCCAGUAGUAAAUUAAACAACGCUACUAACACUGGUAUUCUCUUAUCUACUUUUAAACUGCAGAGAAUUCCUCUGGCUUGCACAGUGGCUAUCUUUGUUCCUGCGGCUGCACACAGGGUGGCUGCGUAUCACAUUGCUGCCAGUCAGGGCUCUUCGGAAUGGCCUUUAUCUACCUGUUUGCUUUUGAUACGGUUGUACGCAGCAUUGCGGUGAUAAGUGCAGAACAAACAUGGGGAGACUGCACCGUGCAGAGAAGAGGCAGGGUCUGGCAGGCUGCUUGGAGGUAAGUCUGCCUGCACCAGCACCUGACUAUUACCUGAGCAGCAUCUCCUAAAAUAAAUCUCUGAGUAAUGUAGCCAGAGCUCCUCGUGAGCAUAGGUGCUUGCAUGCAGCUGAGCAGAGAACAAAGUAUACGCUUAAAAAGCACCCUGUGCUGAAAUGAGAUGCCUACAGUUAUGUUAGACUGUAAGGAGGAAACUUCAGGAAGGGAAGGAAAAUAUAGCACUGUUAUCAGCAAUUGUUUCCUUCUAACUUCAGGGUUAGAGGGAAUCUACUGAAAUACAGCAAUAACAUGCAGAGAUAGAGCAGACCAAAUUUACCCUUGUUUAUGUGUACUACUGAAAUGUAAGAAAGUCACAAUGCUAUUUUUGUUGUUGUUGUUGUUUGCUUUCUCUUUAAUCCCCGGGGAGAAACAUCAGUGUCCUGCAUCUUCAGUGUGUGUAAUAAUUUAUUAUAAUACAUCAUAUUCAUUUUCUUGAGUCCGUACAGAUAAAUAUUUUAGGAAGCAUAACUAAGGAAGUGGAGCACUUUUUCUUGUCCACAAGGGACUCUUCGGCCUCUGGAGAAGAUGCUUCCUGGGUUAAAAAUUAGAAGUUCUUUGGAUGUAUUUGGGUAAUGUUCAUAGCACAGACUCUGUGACUUGCUUAUGAAUGAGCAUGAAAAUUAAUCUCCUUCUUAAGAGGAUAUAUAGAUUAGGGGAAGCUUGAGAGAUUAUUAUAUCCUGUUUGAGAACAUAUCAAGUGAAUAGAGCUUAAUAUUAUUCAUCACCAUACAUUUCUAUCUGACAUUAGCAUAAUAUACCUGUAUAGAAACUUAAAAAUCUAUUACUUCAUUAUUGAAGAGCGUUCACAUGUUUACUGCAAUGCUUCAAACUGUCACUUUUGGCUGUGGUUAAAAAUACAAAUUAAUGAUUAAUGAAUGCAGUUGUACUUCUGACUGAAGGCAGCUGAAUAUAUUGCUAAUAUAGUCUGUUUUAUUAAUGCGUCUCUCUUUGAGAAUCAUCUUGGGGAGAAGCUCCUCUUUUCAAGGAUGGAACCGCACAACUGAAAUAGUUGCUGGUUAAAAAAAAAAUAAAAAAAUUGAGCUUGCUGGUACAAUUCAAGAUGAUAGAAUCACAGAAUCAUUAAGGUUGGAACAGACCACUAAGAUCUCCAAGUCCAGCCAUCAGCCCACUGCUAUCAUAUCACUGACCAUGGCCCUCAGUGCCACAUCUCCAUGGCUCUUGAACACCUCCAAGGAUGAUGACUUUGCCACCUCCCUGA